rnacentral:rRNA from 1 species
AUUGAACGCUGGCGGCAGGCCUAACACAUGCAAGUCGAGCGAGCGGCGGCCGUGUGAGUACUGUAGGGGGGUCUGCCCUAUAGAGGGGGAUAACUACUGGACACUAUGGCUAAUACCGCAUUCUCACUGAUGAACACCUAUGGGAUUAGCUAGUAGGUGUGGUAAAGGCUCACAUAGGCGACGAUCGCUAGCUGGUCUGAGAGGAUGAUGAGCCACACUGGGAAGGAGACACGGCCCAGUCUCCACCGGGAGGCAGCAGUGGGGAAUAUUGCACAAUGGGCGCAAGCCGGAUGCAGCCAUGCCGCGGGUAUGAAGAAGGCCUUCGGGUUGUAAAGUACUUUCAGCGGGGAGGCGUUACCCGCAGAAGAAGCACCGGCUAACUCCGUGCCAACAGCCGCGGUAAUAC